rnacentral:rRNA from 1 species
ACCGAUAGCGAACGAGUACUGUGAAGGAAAGGUGAAAAGAACCCCGAGCAGGGGAGUGAAAUAGUUCCUGAAACCAUACGCCUACAAGCGGUCGGAGCAUCGUAAGAUGUGACGGCGUGCCUUUUGCAUAAUGAUCCUACGAGUUACCGUCACUGGCGAGGUUGAGUGUCAUGAGACACGUAGCCGCAGUGAAAGCGAGCCUGAAUAGGGCGCACAGUCAGUGGGGGUAGACGCGAAACCAAGUGAUCUACACUUGGCCAGGAUGAAGUCCCGGUAACACGGGAUGGAGGUCCGCACCAAUAAGCGUUGAAAAGCUUCUGGAUGAGCCGAGUGUAGGAGUGAAAGGCCAAUCAAACUUGGAGAUAGCUCGUACUCCCCGAAAGGCAUUUAGGUGCCGCGUCGGAUGGUCACCGUGAGAGGUAGAGCGACCGAUAGGACAAGAGGGCUUCACCGCCUAUCGAGUCCUGACGAACUCCGAAUGCUCACGGUCUGCAGUCCGGCAGUAAGGGGGCGGGUGCUAAGGUCCGUCCCCGAGAGGAGAAGAAUCCAGACCGCCGUCUAAGGUCCCGGAGUUCUGCCUGAGUUAGUCUAACGAAGUCUGGUCCCUAUGACAGCUAGGAUGUUGGCUUGGAAGCAGCCAUUCAUUCAAAGAGUGCGUAACAGCUCACUAGUCGAGGGUCCGGGCAUGGAUAAUAAUCGGGUAUAAGGCAGACACCGAAGGCGCGGGAUAGCAAUUAUAAAAGUAUCGGUAGGGGAGCAUACUCACAGCGUCGAAUGGUGUACGUAAGUUAUCCUGGAGCGGUGAGUAAAGCAAAUGUAGGAAUAAGUAACGAUAAGGAGGGUUAGAUUCCCUCCCGCUGUAAGACCAAGGUUUCCCGGGCAAUGCCAAUCAGCCCGGGGUCAGUCGGGUCCUAAGUCUAAGCCGAACGGCGAUGGCGAUGGCAGAGACGGUUAAUAUUCCGUCACUGCCGCAUGGGGCGACGUGGAGACGGAGCAGUGAAACCACCGCGGGGCGACGGAAGUCCCCGUUGAAGGGUGUAGGCGUUGAGGAUGGCAGGCAAAUCCACCAUCCGAGCUGAACCUGACAGUACGGAGUCCUCCUCGGAGGAAUCUGAUAGUGUGGGUAAUCAUACUCCCGAGAAAAUCCGCUAAGCUUAACCCAUGCGGCACCCGUACCGCAAACGGACACACGUGGUCGGGUAGAACAUACUAAGGCGUUGAGAGAUUCAUGGUUAAGGAACUAGGCAAAUUGACCCUGUAACUUCGGGAUAAAGGGUCCUCGUGAUGAGCGAGGCGCAGAGAAUAGGUCCAGGCAACUGUUUAACAAAAACACAGGGCUGUGCAAACUCGAAAGAUGACGUAUACAGCCUGACACCUGCCCGGUGCCGGAAGGUUAAGAGGAGAUGUCACUCGCAAGAGGAAGCAUUGAAUUGAAGCCCCGGUAAACGGCGGCCGUAACUAUAACGGUCCUAAGGUAGCGAAAUUCCUUGUCGGGUAAGUUC